UAUCGGGCGAGGCGAACGGAGCAAGAGAGAGAAGUGCGAACACACACUUUCUCUCUCUUUCUCUCAUAGCCACGUUUCGUGUAUCUAAGACUCAGUGCAGGUCUAUUGCUAGGGAAGUUUCACUUCAGUCGUGUACGGUCACUUAUAACACUU